rnacentral:rRNA from 1 species
AGAGUUCGAUCCUGGCUCAGGAUGAACGCUGGCGGCGCGCCUAACACAUGCAAGUCGAACGGCACCUAUCUUCGGAUAGAAGCGAGUGGCGAACGGCUGAGUAACACGUGGAGAACCUGCCCCCUCCCCCGGGAUAGCCGCCCGAAAGGACGGGUAAUACCGGAUACCCCCGGGCGCCGCAUGGCGCCCGGGCUAAAGCCCCGACGGGAGGGGAUGGCUCCGCGGCCCAUCAGGUAGACGGCGGGGUGACGGCCCACCGUGCCGACAACGGGUAGCCGGGUUGAGAGACCGACCGGCCAGAUUGGGACUGAGACACGGCCCAGACUCCUACGGGAGGCAGCAGUGGGGAAUCUUGCGCAAUGGGGGGAACCCUGACGCAGCGACGCCGCGUGCGGGACGGAGGCCUUCGGGUCGUAAACCGCUUUCAGCAGGGAAGAGUCAAGACUGUACCUGCAGAAGAAGCCCCGGCUAACUACGUGCCAGCAGCCGCGGUAAUACGUAGGGGGCGAGCGUUGUCCGGAAUGAUUGGGCGUAAAGGGCGCGUAGGCGGCCUGCUAAGUCUGAAGUGAAAGUCCUGCUUUCAAGGUGGGAAGUGCUUUGGAUACUGGUGGGCUGGAGUGCAGGAGAGGAAAGCGGAAUUACCGGUGUAGCGGUGAAAUGCGUAGAGAUCGGUAGGAACACCAGUGGCGAAGGCGGCUUUCUGGACUGAAACUGACGCUGAGGCGCGAAAGCGUGGGGAGCAAACAGGAUUAGAUACCCUGGUAGUCCACGCCUGUCUCUUAUACACAUCUGACGCUGCCGACGAAUAGCCU